rnacentral:lncRNA from 1 species
UGUCUCUGGCAUGCAUGGAAUACACAAAUCCACGUCACUUAUUUUGAGAAGUAGCGAGUAUUAUAUUUAUUUGGAAACUUAUUUUAAAUUAAUUUAGUUAAAUUUAAACUUAUACAUGCUAGAUUUGUCGACGAUCGCGUGCAAUUUGGACCAAAGGAAACAACUGAUCAGUCAUGUUGUCAAUGGCGUGUCUCACCGAUCGCAUAUACCGUGAACAAAUAAAUCGAGCCUUCACGAUAUUUUAGAAAAAUCUUUAGAUCUGCAUGGAGUCAAGUCAUCAUCCAAAAAAGAAAAGAAAAAUAUCACGGUGUUUAAUUGCCGAAAUGGAUGGCUCUAUUCGAACCGUCAACAGCUUCCACCGGUUGCUGCUUUGGCAAGAACAUCUUUUAACUCUUACAGCAUUCAUCACACGACUGAGAUGUGCUUUGAUCUUGAUUUUUCCAGGCACGACUUGCAACGGAUAAUAACUAACUGCGCCAUUGGCUCGACCG